CCAAGGCUUGAGGCAGCUGCAUAUCACACUUGUGUAGCCAAGGUCAGCUGGGAUUGGCCAGGGGUGUGGCCGGAGGCCCUGGACAAUGAGUGUGGGGCCCUGCAGCUGUCCAGCUCACCCUGUGCCACACCAGCUUCCACGCCCCACACCUGGCCUAUCCCAGCUGGGCCCAGAGAAACUGGGGUCUCCCAGCCCUCACCUGGGAGGGGUGCACCCUACUGUGACCUGGAGGCUGUCAGGGCAGAGCUGCAGGACGCCACAGGCAUGCCAGCCGAGAUCUUCUAAUGAUGCUAAGGACACUUUACCUAACACUGUGCUCUGAGCCAAGUCUGUUCUUCCAACGUCGCCCAGGGUGUCCUGUGAACACGUAAGUCAAAACACACCUUGCUGCUGCCUAAAACCUGACACCUGGGAAGCAAGGGUGGAGGGAGGAAGAUCAAAGGGGCAGCAUGGACAAGCAGAUGCAGUGCCCAAACCUCAAGUCCAAAACCCAAAAUGCUGCACAGUCUGAACCUUGUAAGGCCGACAUCACCCACCAAAGAUGCUCAGCUGGCAAAGUCUUUGCAAAUAGUCCAGAGUCUCAAAGCUCUGAAACCUGACGCACUCCCAGGCAUGUCUCAGCAGGGAUCCUCAGCAGGCACAACACAUCAUAUUUUACGAGUUCACGUGGUUUUUGACAAUACUGCAAGAAACGUGGAGUUUUCUCUAUUGAACAACAAUGUCAGGGCAGACGAAACCGCAAUCAGAACCUUGAGCUGUCACCUAGGCGGGUGCCACAUCUGGAGACCAGGCUGCCCCUGGGCACACCCUGGAUCAAACCCUGGAUCCAGGGAGGACCAUCCCAAGGUGGAGGGAAUUUCGUGGGGUGUCCCUGGGAGAUGCAGUUGAGCCCUCACGGCCGGCCUGCUGCUAGAAAGUGGGAGUGGGGCCUGCUUGGCGAGUGACACUCACCCUCGGGUAAGAUCCACUGAGUGCUCCCUCCCCUGUCCCCCGUCCCGGCUCUGUCCCCCACCCCCAGUCUGCUCUGGCAGCCGCACAGCCGCUCAUAACCACAGCAGGAGCCAGCUACACCCCCAACCCCCACCGUUUCCAUGGACGUGGGCCCAACACAAACACGUGCAUGACUCCCCCUGCCAGCCAGGACCCCCCACCUCCAGCCUGGCCUGGGAGCAGGUUGGGUGGGCGGAUGAGGUCAUUGCCACAGUACUCCCCCCACCCCGCCCUGCAAGGGGGCAGUGUUUGUUUGGCCUUGUUUCCCUGGCAACCCGCUAGUCCCUCCUCUAUUCCGGGGGGGGGGGGCUGUGCCCAUGGUUGGGGUGGGUGGGGGUUCAAGUAGAGCUGCCCCCACUGCCCUAUGCCUGGCUUGGCCAGGACAGGAGUCUCCAGACCAGAAUCUGGGGCCACCAGGAGGGGGACCGGGGCCAUCAGCCCCACCUCCAAAGCUGAUGAGGAAAGCAAGGCACUGGCGCUAGCAGGUGGGGAGGCAGGACCAUGCAGCCUCCACGGGCCACCCCUAGGGAGCUGAGCCUGCACAGAGGUGGGCAGGGGCCUGGCUGGGGAGGGGGUGGGGCAGGUGCAGUGGCAGGAGGCAGGGAGGCCCAGCUGCACUGGAUGUGCUGAGAACACAGACGCCAGGGGUGGGAGAAGUUGGUCACAGGGUGCAGCAGGGCAGUGCCCCAGCGAGGACAACAGUGGCGACCCCCUGCCCCGUGCCUGCACAGGCCCCCCUCAGGUGCAAGGCCACAGAAAUAUGCAUGCACGGGGGUGUGCACAUCAGUCUCUGCAGCAGCUUGGUGGGGGCAGGGAGGGAGGGACCCUGACCUCUGGCCUUUCCCCUCUUGGCCCUGGGCAGAUGCUGGGUGCCUCCUGGGAUGGGGCUCUGGAAGGCAGCCAGGACACCCUCCUGGUUCCUGGUGGUCCCAGAACCCCAUGACACAGGGGCUGGGAACAUCACACUUUGCACCUCCCCCCACACCCCCACACUGCUCUGUCCCUUCAGUCAGCCUGGAAGGCUACAUAGCGAGGCCCCUGUGGAGACAUUACCUAAGCUGCCUCCUGACCUAAUCCCCUCGCCAUCACAGCAGGGAGGGGAGGGCCAGUGGAGCUGCCACCUGUGUGGUAUGCCGGGCCCACCUCUGAGCCCUCAGGGCCAGCUCUCGACUGGCAGGUGUCGCCAGGACAGACACCCUGGCCUCCAGAGUUUCCCCAGGGUCUCUCGCUGCCCCUGGCAGGUCUCCAAAAUGUGUCGACCCACUCGGUGCCUGGGCUUGGAAAGCUGGGCAGGCCUCCUUUCCCCUGCCUCAGGCUCAGGUCCAUUGGCUCAGACCUCACUCACCACAUAAGGCCCUGCGGCUGGCCUGGACAGGGGUGAGCUGCAGCUUGGCAUAGCCCCCCAUGCACCCAACACAGACCUGGGUGGGCAGACACACAUGUACCCAACAGUCCCAGGUGUGCACGCAGGCCUGCACACACACACACAUACAUGCAUGUGGACACAUACACUCAUGCACCCAACAGACCCAAGUGGACAGACACACACAAGCAUGCAUAUAGACAUACACACACACAUAUGCACCCAACAGACCCAGGUGGGAAGACACACAGGCAUGCAUGUGGACAUACACACACACAUGCACCCAACAGACCCAAGUGGGCACACAGGCCUGCACAUACAUAUGCAUGCAUGUGGACACACGCAACAGACCCAUGUGGGCAGAUGUACAUAGGCCUUCACGUGGCCACACAUGCAUGCAUGUAGACACACAUGACACACACGUGUGGACACAGACACCCUGCAAGACUGGCCAUACAUAGACUGUCCACCACACAGGGGACCCUGGCCUGCAAAGCUGGGAUGCAGGUCCAAUGGAGGAGACCCAGGCACACCAAGAAGGCUCUGCUCUCAGGGUCUGCGUGCCCUGGCAGCAGGUUGGCAGCGCACAGGGACCUGCAUGGUUUGUCCCAGACCGGGCUCCUGUAGCUUCAGUCACCCAGGAGACGAGGCCCCACCAAGGCCACCUACUCCCUGGCUUGGGUAGCUUGAAGCCACCCACCCAGCAUCCCUUAGCUUCGAAGCCCUGUGCCUGGCUGGAGAGCCUGGGGCUACCCCUGGGCUCCACUCACCCCUCAGGGCUGGGGUGUGGUAUCCGGGUCAUGCAGGAGACAGUGAGAGUCCCAGCGAGUUCAUUACAGCAGAGAGCAGACCACGAGGCAGCUCAGAAGACUGGGCCUGCAGGGGCUGGGGCCUGAGAGGCUAAGAGCCAACCAGAGAGAGCCUGGGGUGGGGUCUGUUGUGCCUCAGGACCCCAUCAGGGCAGGAAGACUGAGGACCAGUGUGGGAGAACCCAGGAGCCAGGGCACAGGAGCAGGGCUCUGAGCACAGGGCCCUUUCCCCAGGGACAGGACAGUGAGGCUUGGACACGGGAGGGGGCUGGGGCCACCCCUAGUCUGGGUCAGAGCUCACUGUGGGUUAGCACAGACCCCUCCCAUGCCACUGGCUAUGCGAAGGUAAGAGACUGAGAUUGGCUAUAACUUAAAAUACAUUUAUUUAGUGUUUCCAUUUGUUUCUGGUUCUGUUAUACAAAGCUGUUAAAUAAAUACAUUCUCCACAGUCAAUCAGGUACACACCGACUCCCUGCGCAGAUGAGGUAGAGAAAUCAAUCAACUGGCUCCUAGAGACUCAGCAUGGGGUGGGCCCUCCCUGUGCCACACCCACCAGACCAGGCACAGGUUCCCCCAGGGGGGGCGGCCAGCACAGCCCUGCAGCAGGAAUGCUGGCAAGAGGGACCCCUGCCCCCAGACCAUUUUUCCCAGAAGAGGCAAAGCAGCAGCCCCCACGCCCUCAGGUAGCAAGCCUCGCAUCCAGGACCCACCAGCCGCUGCCAGUCUGCCUUGUGAAAUGAGCACUCUGAAUA